rnacentral:rRNA from 1 species
UACGUAGGGUGCAAGCGUUGUCCGGAAUUAUUGGGCGUAAAGCGCGUGUAGGCGGCUUAGUAAGUUGGGUGUGAAAGCCCUCGGCUUAACCGAGGAAGUGCGCCCAAAACUGCUUGGCUUGAGUACCGGAGAGGGUGGCGGAAUUCCCGGUGUAGAGGUGAAAUUCGUAGAUAUCGGGAGGAACACCAGCGGCGAAGGCGGCCACCUGGACGGAUACUGACGCUGAGACGCGAAAGCGUGGGGAGCAAACAGG